GUCAACAAAAGAAAAUGGAUAUUUAUAUCACGAGAAGCAGUUUAUUAUACCUCUCAAGCCCCCCAAAAAAAAUUUCAAACGCAUCAAAUGGAGCGUAGCCUGUUCGUCCCAUCAGUGUCCAUCUCGAACGCUCCCCCACUCUCGUAAACUUUCCCAAUCCCAAACCCUAAUUUCCCAAUUCGAUUUUCCAGAUUGCAAUGCCCGACACUCUGAGCCCUAAUCCGGCAACCCCGAAGCAGAGGCUCCCAAUGGCCGCUCGUCUCCAUUCUCCAACCAGCCCCUUCUUCCUCGGCUCCAACGAGGACCACCGCAAGCGUGCGCAGGCUCGCGCAGCACGCGCCGCAGCGAUUCGAAGGAAGUCCGUUGCGCUCAAUCUGCUGCCACAGCAGGGAGACCCCGAUCCCUGCCUCGGAAAGGCGCAGAUCCUCGAGCUGCUCCAGAAUUGCAUCAAACUCGACAGUGAAAAUGUCAGUUUAGAUUUUUCAAGUAAUUGAAAGUUUUGAAAUUAUUUUCUUUUUUAACAAAAAGUUUCAAUUUUUUUAGUAUUUUAUUUGUCAAAUGAGUGAGCCAUUUUUACUGUAUUAAAAUUUGAUGUUUGUUAUGAAAUUUUUCUUAAAUGUUCGAUUUUGAGCUGUCGGGUGCGCAGAAAAUUAAUCAGAAAAAUAUAUGGGAGCUUAAUUAUUAAGGUUGAAGAGGAAAACGAUGCAGAGACGAAUUUUCAAAAGGCAAGCUGCACUCUUGAAGGUGGAGUCAAAAUUUACUCAAUGAGGGUGGAUUCAGUACACUCCGAGGCAUAUAAGGUCCUUGAUGGGAUGAACAGAGCAGUCCAAGAAGAUGAACAGGGUUGGGUUUGCUAUCGGCUUUCACUCUGCCCUUUCGUUUUUUACUCAAGUGUAUUCACUUGCAAACCAAAAAGAAGUAUGUUGAUUUUAAAAGCAGUACUUUACUUGGUUCUG